AUUGAACGCUGGCGGCAUGCCUUACACAUGCAAGUCGAACGGUAACAGGUCUUCGGAUGCUGACGAGUGGCGAACGGGUGAGUAAUACAUCGGAACGUGCCCGAGAGUGGGGGAUAACGAAGCGAAAGCUUUGCUAAUACCGCAUACGAUCUCAGGAUGAAAGCAGGGGACCGCAAGGCCUUGCGCUCACGGAGCGGCCGAUGGCAGAUUAGGUAGUUGGUGGGAUAAAAGCUUACCAAGCCGACGAUCUGUAGCUGGUCUGAGAGGACGACCAGCCACACUGGGACUGAGACACGGCCCAGACUCCUACGGGAGGCAGCAGUGGGGAAUUUUGGACAAUGGGCGCAAGCCUGAUCCAGCCAUGCCGCGUGCAGGAUGAAGGCCUUCGGUGUAACUGCUUUGUACGGUAACG
rnacentral:rRNA from 1 species